GUGACACUUCGGUUCUGCCGGUGCUGGAACCUCGAGCUCAGAGCCAGCACCGAGCUGGUCGGAGCCAGCACCGCGCUGGAACCGUGUCUGGAACUUUGAUUGAAAAGUAGCCGAUUUUUGGAAAUAAAUUUAGCGUGCACUGCACAACAGCUGUCACUGUCAAGCAAAAAAUCCAAACAAAGUCAACCCGUUUUUUCUUCCUGCGAAAAGUUGCACGCGGUUUUUAACAGCAUCAAUAAAAGUGGUCCGGUCAAGCAGUCGAACAAUCCGAUUCUGAUGACCACUCAACGGUUGUUCAAGCAAAAAAUCCAAACAAAGUCAACCCGUUUUUUUCUUCCUGCGAAAAGUUGCACGCGGUUUUUAACAGCAUCAAUAAAAGUGGUCCGGUCAAGCAGUCGAACAAUCCGAUUCUGAUGACCACUCAACGGUUGUUCCGGUUGUUCUUUUGCCAUACCACAUUUGUCACUCCUGCGUCACGGAAGAUCCUCGUACCAACUCGACCGCCACACGGGGCUCCCUCGUCCGGUGCAUUCGAUGUCCUUCUUCGUACCCGAUGUCAAGUGCAUCCCCGCCGGAUUCCAGCUACUGACCACGUCGAUCAUGAUCUGCCCCAAGCACUCACUCGAGCAGUGCUCAAUCAACGUCAACGGUGCGAUAAGAGCGGAGUCUCAUCUCCACCUCCAUCUCCGCGUUCAAGUUCUGGCCCGCGCUCACGAUAGCCCUGCCAGCGGACCCGGACGUGGUAAUCCGGCGGCAACACAAGCAAAAGGACAUUUGCGUGCGCUUCUACAGCACGCACGAUUUUGGAUGGAUCAACCGGAGGCAAUCGACUCGGACAUCGUGGCGGCCGGAAGCAGUCGGACAUGAUGGAGCGGUACAAUGAAGAAUCGACCCAGGACGAUUUGAGCCAAUGCGCGGGGAGGACUAGAUCGGUGAGUACAAAUAGUCGGACAAGGACCCUUGCGGGCUAAACUCGAACUGCAUCAACCGGGCGCUGCUCGUGGAGUGCAAUCCGAAGACUUGUCCAGCUAGCGAAAGUUGCCAGAACCAGUGCUUCAAACGGAAGCGGUACUAGGCACUGGCGGCCAAACGGAUACCCAUCAAGCGCUAGGGUCAGGUCGCGCGUCGCGUGAUCGAGUACGAGAAGUGAUCAACAACGAGGAGUUGCGGCGGCGGAUAAAUCAAAAGGACGAAAAUUACUACUUCCUGACGGUGGACUCGGAGCAGACGAUCGACGCGGGGCCCAAGGGCAACUUGGCCAGGUUCAUCAACUACUCGAGUCCAACUGCGAGACGUUGCUGUGGAAGGUCGGCGGAAGCCAAUCCGUAGGGCUGUUUGCCCUCAAGGACCUCAAGGCAGGCUAAGAGCUCACCUUCAACUAGGGGAACAGCAUCUAAUUCCAGCGUGCCUCUAAUGUUGGCAGGUCAGAACUUUGACAUUCAAUUAAAGCUAAUUAAAAGCAUUUUCAACUGAAAUCGAGUGAUAAAUAGCUCAAUAAGA